UCAGACCUCUAAUCGG
rnacentral:rRNA from 1 species